CACGUAGGGUGCGAGCGUUGUCCGGAAUUAUUGGGCGUAAAGGGCGCGUAGGCGGUACCCUAAGUCAGAUGUGAAAACCCGGGGCUUAACUCCGGACGUGCAUUUGAAACUGGGGAACUUGAGUGCAGGAGAGGUAAGUGGAAUUCCUAGUGUAGCGGUGAAAUGCGUAGAUAUUAGGAGGAACACCAGUGGCGAAGGCGACUUACUGGACUGUAACUGACGCUGAGGCGCGAAAGCGUAGGGUAGCAAACAGG
rnacentral:rRNA from 1 species